rnacentral:lncRNA from 1 species
UGUAUUUAAUUAUUUCAAAAAUAAAUUAAUAUUUGUUUAAAUAAUAGGUUGAUUGUAGGUACUGAAAGUAAAAAGCGAUUCAAAUAAUGUUUAACAAGUAAAAAGUAAGUAUAUCUCCAUUCGGAUGUAACUAUAGCGCGAUUGGUUGACGAGCCAGUCAUUUUAGAGCGUAGUAGGGACUGGGAUUAACCAAUGAAGAAGCCGUAGUACGAUCUUCCGCCACGCCGGCCUGAAUCGCAUUCGCGCCGAUCGGUUUUCUUUAGUUGGUCCCGUGCGACGCGACGCGUUCCUUCUUCCUGGCGUUCUCGUUUCUUUCUAGGACUAUUUUCUACGUGUUUUGCCUUCUAUCGUGACUUUGGACGCCAUCCAUUCACCUCGUCAUCAUUUUAACGUCCUUAUUCUCUAUUCUUCUAUUUUUAUCUUUUUUUUUGUUCUUUAAAAAUCAAAAAUUGUUCUAAGUGCAACCAACAACAACAACACAACAACAACAACACACAUUUUAACAUUUUAGUGUUACGUGCAAGAACAGUGUGUUCUAUUCACUUUUCGCUUCCUCGAUCAUUAUCGUGGAUUAACAGUGAUUGAAAGAAAGGGAAACAAAAAGUAUCUGCUUUUUGUAUUUUGUAUUAUCGUGAGGUAGUAGUUCGUUCGAAUUCGUUCUAUUUAAACGAAUUAUUUUAUCCUCUUAUCGACUUUUUUAUUUUUUUUUUCAACCGUAAUCCCCGUUACGUUAUCGAGUGUCAAAAUUGACACGAUAGGUACCCUAGAUAAGGUACCAUAUCUUUUUCUCAUCGUAUAUUUAGGAAAACCUAGAAGAUUAGUGUGUACAAGUUGAGGAACAAAUUAUGAACAGAACUUUACUCGUUAAUUUACGAACGAUCUUAAUCCAUCUACGAUGGAUUUGAAGGUGUGCUCGCGACAAGUUCACGACGGUUACGCGACGAUAAGAUCGCGUGGUCGUAACAGACCGCGUCCGAUCACAGAUUCGGAAGAAAAUUUGAUAGCGGACAGUGGCGGUAGUGGCGGUGAUUGUAGUGGUUCUUAUACGUUAAGCUCGCGUAUUCAAAUUUCGACUAGAAAUUUUACCGACGACGACGUUCAUAGGACAUCUUCGGACCAACGUUGGACGAACAAUGGGAAAACAAUAGUCGAAACUUACGGGACAUUGCGCGCACCGUC